GGGGAUGUAGCUCAGUGGUAGAGCGCACGCUUUGCAUGUGUGAGGCCCCGGGUUCGAUCUCCGGCAUCUCCA
rfam:Ciona savignyi cont_4258, whole genome shotgun sequence.